rnacentral:rRNA from 1 species
GAUGAACGCUGGCGGUCUGCUUAACACAUGCAAGUCGAACGAACUCUUCGGAGUGAGUGGCGGACGGGUGAGUAACGCGUGAGAAUCUGCCUGUGGGUCGGGGACAACUACUGGAAACGGUGGCUAAUACCGGAUGAGCCGAAAGGUAAAAGAUUUAUGCCCACAGAUGAGCUCGCGUCUGAUUAGCUAGUUGGUGGGGAAACCCUACCAAGCCUACGAUCUAUAGCUGGUUUUAGAGGAUGAGCAGCCACACUGGGACUGAGACACGGCCCAGACUCCUACGGGAGGCAGCAGUGGGGAAUUUUCCGCAAUGGGCGAAA